AAAGCCCCUCGCUCUGUGCUUCCUGGCUUACUCUCAGCGUAACCGUGGGAGACGCUUCCUUGACCUUCCCUCUCCUCCUCUCCUGAUGUGUUGCUCCUUUUUCACCACCUCCUCGUCGCCGGGCGUCUGACGCUCACGUUUGGACGACGGCUGCGUCCAUGCAAAAAUGGGUUGUGGCAAUUCGUCGGCCGCCAGCACCUCGGGAGGGGGGCCAGCCGAAGCCUCCAGGGAUGUGACAGAAGAUCCCUUGGCAGACGAUGAGAAAAGAAGGAAUUAUGGUGGCGUGUACGUGGGUCUCCCAGCAGACUUGACCACGGUGGCCACUCAUUCCAGGUCAACCCAAAAAGGUAGCCCCCUGUGUAAAAAAAUAAAAUAAAUAAACUAUGAGGCUCUCACUGGACAAAUGAGGACAACCAGCUAAGAGACCUUUACGUCUGUCAGUGUGUGCUAAGCCACAAGACUAGCGCAGUCAAUGAAUUGGACACAACAGAGGCAACCUGAAUAUUCACCUUGAGGCACCCCCGACCGACUCCCCCUUGGAUGUGCCGUGACCUCACCGACUGAUGGGUCAGCCCUCUUAACGCGCCGCUAGAGUCGAGAUGCAGACAUUUCGUCACGUCGCCAAAGACGACGCUGUGUCGUCGACUCGUCACGGGAGGCAAAGCCACACACCAUGGAACUCUAUGGACGCCAUCCAUAAUCAUCCUUCAACAAUAAAAAGAUGGGCAUGGAAGUGGACAAGCGCCCUCUUGGGGACUGCAAAGCACCAGCGGGGGCACAGACCGUCAUGACGGCCAUCUUGGCGUGUCAGUCACAGUUAUGAAAUGUUGCCGGCCAAUUAAAUUAUUAUUAUUUUUUCCUCAUUAGCACUGCAAAUUGCAAUCACCACAUUAGUGACUCACUGUGCACCUCGGAGAAACCAAGAAUGAGGAGGUCCUUCACGCUACGCUCACAGGCCACAAUAUUAGGUACACCUGCACAUUCUCCAACAAGGGGUGAAAAAGACAAAUAUAAACAAAACAAACUUAAAAAGUCAUAAAAUAAAUUCAAUUAUUGGGAAUUUUGUGCACCCACACCCUGUAUGUGCGCAUUUCGACAUUUGCGCAUCUAUUUGGAUGUGGCCGUCGUACAUCCGAUCUUUUUGGCUUUGACUAACAAGUAAAAAUGUUCCACACGAGCGUUGUAUGGUGGGAGCUAACACAACGCAAUUCACAAGAAGUCGUUUGGCAGAUAGUGAACCAUUCUUAAAAAAAAAAGAAAAAAAAAACAUUGUUUAACACCACUACCAGUUGAAGUUGACUGUCAAACUAAACAUCAGACAAAGAGAAUCACACAUUGCAUAUUUAAAACAACCACAUAACUGCCUUAAAAUCUGAUAGCUUAAUGCUAACACAUAAUGGGAAAUUCCGUAGACUGGCUAACGAAUAGCAUCUAUGUGGCUGUGUUGUAACGCUUGAAGCAACGGAUAUUCGAACAAAAACAGCAACAACACGUGUAGAAAGACAAUAUAACAAUACACACAGGCAUAUUUUCUUCAUCCUCUGUGAAAAACAGCAAAUAUUAUUGCAGCGAACUGAGGCACAAUAGUUGAAAAACACUUCUUACAUUUGUCUGCAUGAUGGUAUAAUACUGCCCCCUGGUGGCCAGGUAAUGGACACCAGAAGUAGCGGCAAUGAAAUAAUAAUGAUGCACAGUUUAAUUCCUUACAUUCUGUUUAAGUUACUACUACAGUAUAUGGUUUUAGAAGGUACAAUAUUAUAGAGUGCCAUUUUUCAUAUUAAAAACACAACAAUUGUGUUCAAAAAGGUCAAAAAUAUCAAAAAGGUCAUGCAUGCAAUUACAACCACCAUAAUAAACAUAUUGGUAAAAAGUAAUAUCUUGCUGAUCAAAUCAAUCAAACCUGAGCAAGAUCUAAUUAGCGUGCCCUAGUGUACCUAAUGUUGUGGCUGACGAGUGAACACUAAAGAGCUAAACCAAGGACGUACGACAUUUCUGAAUGUCCCUGUGAUGGGUUCUCUCUACCUCCUAUUACCUUUGUGAAAGUAGUCCCAUAUAAAAAAAAAAAAAAAAAAAAACCAGUGACCUUGUAAUAUGUUCUCUUAACGUCACAUGGACGUGACAAAACUGUAAUCAGGUGGCUGAGAGUAGAGAGAAACACAAGAGAGGCACGUAUGCCAGACACACCAAGACUUUAUCAUCUCCACUUAAUAAUAGCUGUCAUCCUCACAGGAUCAAAGGUUGUCUUAUUGUUAACAAUGAACAGAACAACAGCCUUCUGCCACGCAUGUGUCUCAAAUUUAAAUAUGAAACAUUUACAAAACAAUUUUGAAUGGUUAGGGUACAUUUUCAAGCACAUUUUAAAUAGUUUUUAAUUACAUGAUUAUCUAAAUAUUGGCCUUUGUUCUGUUUUCAUUUUUUUAUCAUUACCACUAUAGUUAUGAAAAUGAACCUGGUGAGAAAAAACUCUAAGGAUGUCUGGAAGCAGUACCAUUAUUCUCUGAUUAUAGGAGAGAAAUUUCAUGGUGGCACUUGUCUUAUAUUGAGGAGUCAGUUUUGACUGAAUAUGAAUCCUUGCCCUAUAACGUGUUUUGCGGUGGUUCACUAUGGACAGCAUCAUUUGGCCAAACUGUCGAGGAAAACAGUGACGGGCUGUGCAUUCGGUCCCAGGGCCUUCAGUGGGGACUUACCCGACUUAACUCAUUCACUGCCAGCCUUCCCAGUUAACAUGGAUAUUUGACUUCUAAAGCGGUCAAUGGCAGGGAAUGUGUGAAUCCACUUUUGCACCACAAUUAUAGUAAUCAAUAAUACACAAAAACACAAUACAACAGCAUGCAAAUGUGCCAUAUACAUCGUCUGGAGCAGUCAAGAUUUUUUUUUUAAUUCAAUAAAAUCCAUCAUACCAAAGAUACGGCUUAUUAAAUGUAAUCAUGUGUGCAGAUCGCUGGACUGAUGUUUCGCUAGUCAAACUUGCCUUGCUCUGAACAACCAAUCGAAGGAUGGGAAAAUGCUGAUGCUAUCGUGGGCCAGCUAGCUGAAUUUGAAAUCUGAUUGGUUAAAGAAACAGUUCCGUUGCUAAUAUAAUUUCAAUUACAUCAGCCAGCGGUACUGAUUCUAAAGGCCGUGGCUAGAUUAGACUGACAUGACAGUGCACAGAGGCUGAAAUCUGAUUGGACGAGAAAAAGUAAACAUCCACCAACAACCAAAAGAGAAAAGCUUCAAAGUGAAGCGAUUAGUUCAAUGUUUCCCUGCCUUUAUUGAGCCAAGGCAGAUAUUUUGUAUUUAAAAAAAAAUCUCACAGCACACCACCAAAGAAAAAUGUCACAAAAAGUAUAUACCCCUAAAUAAUGAUGACUCACUAAUUCACUUAAUGUGCAGAAUCUGGGCCUGUUUAGUUGGACACAAAGCUGUUAUGCUGUUGUAUGACUGGCAACAGGUAGAAAUAAACGUUAAUCGUACCUUCUGCCAUCUAGUGGAAGAGCAUUUAAUCGUUCUGCCUGUCAUUAUAUCUCGCUGGCAAAGAUGGACGAACACAGAUAUAUUUUUUGAUCAAUAAGGUUAAAUUGGAUAAUUUCCUGAUGUAUACCUCAAGAUCUCUGAUGGGACACCGGUUGGGAGUUACUGGCAUAAAUCUUUGGGAACAAGUUGAUACAAUUUCAAGGAACAUAUAUUAAAAGUUUAGGUUGUAAAUGUAGGUCAGUGCUUCUGACAGUGAAAGGUCAGCAGAAAAGGCCUGGGUGCCCCUGAACGCACACCACUGCAAAAUAUAAAAAGUCAUCUUCUUUAUACUCGAAAAUACACACAAAAACAUAUUUCAAGGUCAAGAUUAUCGUCAGCCAGGCUCUUGACAGCCCACCUCUAAUUGAAUGUACCGUCAAGCACUCAGUAGGAAGAGGAGGACGGUGGAAUUAGGCCAACUUUAAACACUUGAGACUCAAGUGAUGCUUCUCCCCUACCCGCUAGACAAAGCCCGACCAGUCGUUGGAAAAAUCAGGCACUGGCCAGGCUAACAUGAGCAAUCAUUGGGCUCGCAAUGUAGUAGCAAACACUGUGUUGGUAGAAGCAGAACGUAGUACAGACCUGAAAUAGUUUGUUUCAGCACUCCCUUGCUGAUUCAUUACUGCCGCCAAACAGGAAAAGGCAAAUGGCAAGAGGUGUUGUUUUGAUCAUUUGCUUGCUUGUUUGUUGGAAUUGUUAGUCCCACCCAACAAUGCAAAUGGUCAAAUUGCACAAUGGUAGAUAUUGUCUUAGGCGUAGCCUGCUUGGUAACAGAUGGAUGUACAAGCUAAAAAACAACCAAUACAAAUAGGAUAUUUUUUUUUUUUUUUCAUUUUCGGAUGAAAGCUUUGCUCCUGAAUCUGAAAUGGUACUGGCCUGUUGUCUAACACAGUCUUUCCUACCUUUUAUUGCUCCGAGGCACAUAUUGUAUUUUUUUUUUUACAUUAGAACAUUCUCUUAUCAAAUGUCAAAAAUAGUGUACUAUAGAUAAUGAAAUAAUGAUGAUCUCAUGAUGAUCACAAAUUGACUUGGUGAGAAAUCUGGGUCGGCACUGCAAAAACUGGACUAAUAGAGCAAGGAAAAAAGUCAUGAAAUUUUGAAAAUAAAAUUUAAUUUUGGCAAAAUUAUCUGUCAAUAGAACAUGAAAACUUGAUUUAGCAAGGUUUCGGAUGGCCUCACAAACCUGCACUGAUGUCAUAAAACAAGCAUAUUGAUUCUACUUUAAUAAUUUCAUAUAUUCAUAACAAAUGUAUAAUUACAUUUCAGAUUAUAUGUAAUGGGACCACUGUACAACAAAUAUUGCGAUUUUUAAAAACUUUUUUUCCAUCUUUGUUUGAUUCUGAAUUAAACGUUUGCCCCUGGCCCAGAAUUCAAAAUGGUGCAGUCCUGUCGUUUUACGUGAUCCUCUGUAGAGGAUUUAUUUCAGUAUUUUUUUCCACUUUUGAUUGAAAUUUGUGUGUGUGUGUGUGUUACAACUUUUGACUUGCUUGAGGAAUGUUUUCUCUUUCUGCCAGUUGAGUAACAUUGUCAUUUUAGUUGAAACAGGUAGUAGCCUGCUAACUACCAAACAGAUGGACAAAUACCAAUUCAGCGCUCCCCACUUUCAUCUUCUGUUUGAGAAUUGAAUUGUCUUUUUUCAACAUUUGAGCUUCAUGGAAAUCAAUGGAAUGGUACUAUGUUACGUAACAGACGGGCAAACAAACAAACACAAAUACGGCACUCUACGAUUUGUUCCCCCACUCUUGUGACCAGUUCAACCAUGGCGAUCUGUGCUCGACUGAGUGCCUUUCGAGUCUGUUACCUGCUUUUGGCUUCUGUCUCUCCCAGUUCCAUCAACCGCUUCGCUUUGCCCUUUAAGAUGGCUCCUGUUGUCUAUGAUGAAUGUCACCACCAUUGGCCUGAACACAGGGGAGCAGAAUGUGGAAUGCGAGUCACAGUCUGACGUCUUCAGAGGUUUUCCUGGUGGUUAUUUUUAGGACUAAUUUACAUAGUGAAAUAGCCUCGAAACAUUGUUUUUAUAUCACAUUGUCUGGUUUCUUUUUUCUUUUUUUUAAGUCGUGAAAUUGUGUGGUCAUUUGUACAAGAGGCUGUUCUUAGACAAAUAAGUAGGACUUUGUAAUAACGGUUACGCAUUAAAACGUGUAGAAAAUCUUCUAAAUAGGCGUGAUUUAAGACAAAAACUGUCCUGUGUAAAACUUUGGUCAUAGUUUUGCCUUAAAUUCUCAUGAUUUAGAAAAAUAAAUUCUCAAAACUGUUUUUCCCUUUUCCAGCAAUGUUUGUGGAAUGUGUUUUGUGGACAGGAUGGAGCGCUUUUAUGAGUGUUCAGUAGUGCAUCUUAGCAACACAGUCCUUUUUGUAUGAUUUGUGACAAAAUUCUCACGAGAACCCACUUGUCAUUGUUGAUGGUGAUGGAACAACAAACUCCUCAACAUUGUCAACCCAUUCACAAUGACCUGGAAUGAAUUAUUUAUGAUUAAAGACUUUUAUAUUGUCUGUG